CGUGUAGCCGGGAAGGCAAGUCAGAUGUGAAAUCCACGGGCUCAACUCGUGAACUGCAUUUGAAACUGUUUUUCUUGAGUAUCGGAGAGGCAAUCGGAAUUCCUAGUGUAGCGGUGAAAUGCGUAGAUAUUAGGAGGAACACCAGUGGCGAAGGCGGAUUGCUGGACGACAACUGACGGUGAGGCGCGAAAGCGUGGGAGCAAACA
rnacentral:rRNA from 1 species